AUUGAACGCUGGCGGCAGGCCUAACACAUGCAAGUCGAGCGGAUGAGAAGAGCUUGCUCUUCGAUUCAGCGGCGGACGGGUGAGUAAUGCCUAGGAAUCUGCCUGGUAGUGGGGGACAACGUUUCGAAAGGAACGCUAAUACCGCAUACGUCCUACGGGAGAAAGCAGGGGACCUUCGGGACUUGCGCUAUCAGAUGAGCCUAGGUCGGAUUAGCUAGUUGGUGGGGUAAAGGCUCACCAAGGCGACGAUCCGUAACUGGUCUGAGAGGAUGAUCAGUCACACUGGAACUGAGACACGGUCCAGACUCCUACGGGAGGCAGCAGUGGGGAAUAUUGGACAAUGGGCGAAAGCCUGAUCCAGCCAUGCCGCGUGUGUGAAGAAGGUCUUCGGAUUGUAAAGCACUUUAAGUUGGGAGGAAGGGCAGUAAGUUAAUACCUUGCUGUUUUGACGUUACCAACAGAAUAAGCACCGGCUAACUCUGUGCCAGCCGCCGCCGUAACAC
rnacentral:rRNA from 1 species